rnacentral:rRNA from 1 species
UAGUCAACCUGCCCUGGAGACNAGGANAACCCCGGGAAACUGGGAUUAAUCCUUGAUAGGUCAUCUCAUCUGGAAGGAGAGAUGGCUUAAAGGGGUACGCGGGCUUCUUNCGUGCAUCUGCUCCAGGAUGGGACUGCGUCCGAUCAGGCUGUUGGCGGGGUAAUGGCCCACCAAACCUGUAACCGGUACGGGCCUUGAGAGAGGUGGCCCGGAGAUGGACACUGAGAGAAGGGUCCAGGUCCUACGGGGCGCAGCAGGCGCGAAACCUUCGCAAUGCGCGAAAGCGUGACGAGGUUAAUCCGAGUGGCUNCCGCUGAGGGGGUCUUUUGUCAGGCUGUA